rnacentral:sRNA from 1 species
UUACCAUUCUUCACCUUCACACAUCUGUACUGUUUAAUUCUCUAUCGUUCUAUUUUUCUUUCGAGAGUACUAACCAUCACUCAGGUUUUUUCUUUUCUUCUAUUUUUAUAAAUCUGUCAUGAACACGGAAGAACACUGCAUAAUUAAUACAAAUAUGCAUUGCUAAUUAUUAGGACUGUGUUUCCUACACAGAUGGGAGAAGCAUAAA